rnacentral:rRNA from 1 species
UUAACGCUGAGGCGUGACGACGAGGCACUACGGUGCUGAAGUGAUAAAUGCCCAGCUUCCAGGAAAAGCCUCUAAGCAUCAGGUAACACAGAAUCGUACCCCAAACCGACACAGGUGGUCAGGUAGAGAAUACCAAGGCGCUUGAGAGAACUCGGGUGAAGGAACUAGGCAAAAUGGUGCCGUAACUUCGGGAGAAGGCACGCUGGCGCGUAGGUGGAGGGACCUGCUCCCCGAGCCGAAGCCAGUCGAAGAUACCAGCUGGCUGCAACUGUUUAUUAAAAACACAGCACUGUGCAAACACGAAAGUGGACGUAUACGGUGUGACGCCUGCCCGGUGCCGGAAGGUUAAUUGAUGGGGUUAUCCGCAAGGAGAAGCUCUUGAUCGAAGCCCCGGUAAACGGCGGCCGUAACUAUAACGGUCCUAAGGUAGCGAAAUUCCUUGUCGGGUAAGUUCCGACCUGCACGAAUGGCGUAAUGAUGGCCAGGCUGUCUCCACCCGAGACUCAGUGAAAUUGAACUCGCUGUGAAGAUGCAGUGUACCCGCGGCAAGACGGAAAGACCCCGUGAACCUUUACUACAGCUUGACACUGAACAUUGAGCCUUGAUGUGUAGGAUAGGUGGGAGGCUUUGAAGCGCGGACGCCAGUCUGCGUGGAGCCAACCUUGAAAUACCACCCUUUAAUGUUUGAUGUUCUAACGUAGGCCCGUGAUCCGGGCUGCGGACAGUGUCUGGUGGGUAGUUUGACUGGGGCGGUCUCCUCCUAAAGAGUAACGGAGGAGCACGAAGGUCAGCUAAUCACGGUCGGACAUCGUGAGGUUAGUGCAAUGGCAUAAGCUGGCUUGACUGCGAGAGUGACGGCUCGAGCAGGUGCGAAAGCAGGUCAUAGUGAUCCGGUGGUUCUGAAUGGAAGGGCCAUCGCUCAACGGAUAAAAGGUACUCCGGGGAUAACAGGCUGAUACCGCCCAAGAGUUCAUAUCGACGGCGGUGUUUGGCACCUCGAUGUCGGCUCAUCACAUCCUGGGGCUGAAGUAGGUCCCAAGGGUACGGCUGUUCGCCGUUUAAAGUGGUACGCGAGCUGGGUUUAGAACGUCGUGAGACAGUUCGGUCCCUAUCUGCCGUGGGCGCUGGAGAAUUGAGGGGGGUUGCUCCUAGUACGAGAGGACCGGAGUGAACGCACCACUGGUGUUCGGGUUGUCAUGCCAAUGGCAUUGCCCGGUAGCUAAGUGCGGAAAAGAUAAGUGCUGAAAGCAUCUAAGCACGAAACUUGCCCCGAGAUGAGUUCUCCCUGACUCCUUGAGAGUCCUGAAGGGACGUUGAAGACUACGACGUUGAUAGGCCGGGUGUGUAAGCGCAGCGAUGCGUUGAGCUAACCGGUACUAAUGACCCGUGAGGCUUAACC